rnacentral:rRNA from 1 species
AAGGAAUCAACAGGGAUUGCCCUAGUAACGGCGAGUGAAGCGGCAACAGCUCAAAUUUGAAAUCUGGCUCUUUUAGAGUCCGAGUUGUAAUUUGCAGAGGGCGCUUUGGCUUUGGCAGCGGUCCAAGUUCCUUGGAACAGGACGUCACAGAGGGUGAGAAUCCCGUACGUGGUCGCUGGCUAUUGCCGUGUAAAGCCCCUUCGACGAGUCGAGUUGUUUGGGAAUGCAGCUCUAAAUGGGAGGUACAUUUCUUCUAAAGCUAAAUAUUGGCCAGAGACCGAUAGCGCACAAGUAGAGUGAUCGAAAGAUGAAAAGCACUUUGGAAAGAGAGUCAAACAGCACGUGAAAUUGUUGAAAGGGAAGCGCUUGCAGCCAGACUUGCUUACAGUUGCUCAUCCCGGCUUUUGCCCGGUGCACUCUUCUGUAGGCAGGCCAGCAUCAGUUUGGGCGGUAGGAUAAAGGUCUCUGUCACGUACCUCUCUUCCGGGGAGGCCUUAUAGGGGGAGACGACAUACUACCAGCCUGGACUGAAGUCCCGCGCAUCUGCUAAGGAUGCUGGGCGUAAUGGCUGUAAACGGGCCCGUCUUGAAACACCGGACCCAGGGAGUCUUAACAUCUAUUUCGAAUGGUUUGGGGUGUCCAAGCCCGAAGGGCGUAAUGGAAAGUGAAACGGAAGGUACGAAACCCCCCAAGGGUGGCACUAUUCGACCCGAUCCCUGAUAGUCUUCCGGAAAGGAAUUUGAAGUAAAAAACCUUGGGUUGUUUGGGGAACCCCGAAAAAAUGGGGGAAACUAUUGCCUUGGAAUAACGGGUGGAAAGCCCCAAAGGAAAAAUCCUUCUUUGGGAAGGCUCCCCGAACGGGUUUCUUUAAAAGGGGGAAAAUUCCGAUCCGGCCCAAAAUUUUGGGGCCUAAAGGGGGGCCAAAAAAAAUAAUUUUCCCAAUUUUUUUCCUGGAAAUUUGUUUUCUAAUUCAUUCCUCCCAACCCAA